rnacentral:rRNA from 1 species
CAGCGCCACAAGUGGGGGCCAUUUUUAUUGGGCCUAAAGCGUCCGUAGCUGGUUCGGUAAAUCUUCUGUGAAAUUGUCUAGCCUAACUAGACAGCGUGCAGGGGACACUGCCGAACUCGAGACCGGGAGGGGUCAGAAGUAUUCCUAGGGGAGCGGUAAAAUGCUAUAAUCCCAGAAGGACUACCUAUGGCGAAGGCAUCCAACUAGAACGGAUCUGACGGUGAGGGACGAAAGCCAGGGGAGCGAACCGGAUUAGAUACCCGAGUAGUCC